rnacentral:rRNA from 1 species
GAUGAACGCUGGCGGCGUGCCUAAUACAUGCAAGUCGAGCGAACAGACGAGGAGCUUGCUCCUCUGACGUUAGCGGCGGACGGGUGAGUAACACGUGGAUAACCUACCUAUAAGACUGGGAUAACUUCGGGAAACCGGAGCUAAUACCGGAUAAUAUAUUGAACCGCAUGGUUCAAUAGUGAAAGACGGUUUUGCUGUCACUUAUAGAUGGAUCCGCGCCGCAUUAGCUAGUUGGUAAGGUAACGGCUUACCAAGGCAACGAUGCGUAGCCGACCUGAGAGGGGGAUCGGCCCAACGGGAACUGAGAACCGGCCCAGCCCCCUAGGGGGGGCAGCAGGAGGAAAUUUUCCGCAAGGGGGGAAAGCCUGACGGAGCAACGCCGGGGGAGUGAAGAAGGUUUGCGGAUCGUAAAACUCUGUUUUUGGGGAAAAACAAAUGUGUAAGUAACGAUGCACGUCUUGACGGUACCAAAGCAGAAAGCCCCGGCAAACUACGG